rnacentral:rRNA from 1 species
UACGAAGGGGGCUAGCGUUGCUCGGAAUUACUGGGCGUAAAGGGCGCGUAGGCGGAUACUUAAGUCGGGGGUGAAAGCCCGGGGCUCAACCUCGGAAUUGCCUUCGAUACUGGGUAUCUAGAGUAUGGGAGAGGUGUGUGGAACUCCGAGUGUAGAGGUGAAAUUCGUAGAUAUUCGGAAGAACACCAGUGGCGAAGGCGACACACUGGCCCAUUACUGACGCUGAGACGCGAAAGCGUGGGGAGCAAACAGG